UACAGAGACUGCAAGCGUUAUUCGGAUUCACUGGGCGUAAAGGGUGCGCAGGCGGCCAAGUGUGUGAGGCGUGAAAGCCCGGGGCUUAACCCCGGAAUUGCACCUCAAACUACAUGGCUAGAGCAUUGGAGAGGGUAGCAGAAUUCAUGGUGUAGCAGUGAAAUGCGUAGAUAUCAUGAGGAAUACCAGAGGCGAAGGCGGCUACCUGGACAAUUGCUGACGCUCAGGCACGAAAGCGUGGGGAGCGAACCGG
rnacentral:rRNA from 1 species